UACGUAGGGUGCAAGCGUUGUCCGGAAUUAUUGGGCGUAAAGAGCUCGUAGGCGGUUUGUCGCGUCUGCUGUGAAAUCCCGAGGCUCAACCUCGGGCUUGCAGUGGGUACGGGCAGACUAGAGUGCGGUAGGGGAGAUUGGAAUUCCUGGUGUAGCGGUGAAAUGCGCAGAUAUCAGGAGGAACACCGGUGGCGAAGGCGGGUCUCUGGGCCGAUACUGACGCUGAGGAGCGAAAGCGUGGGGAGCGAACAGG
rnacentral:rRNA from 1 species